rnacentral:rRNA from 1 species
GAUGAACGCUGGCGGCGUGCCUAAUACAUGCAAGUCGAGCGAACAGACUAGGAGCUUGCUCCUCUGACGUUAGCGGCGGACGGGUGAGUAACACGUGGAUAACCUACCUAUAAGACUGGGAUAACUUCGGGAAACCGGAGCUAAUACCGGAUAAUAUAUUGAACCGCAUGGUUCAAUAGUGAAAGACGGUUUUGCUGUCACUUAUAGAUGGAUCCGCGCCGCAUUAGCUAGUUGGUAAGGUAACGGCUUACCAAGGCAACGAUGCGUAGCCGACCUGAGAGGGUGAUCGGCCACACUGGAACUUAGCCACGGUCCAGACGCCUACGGGAGGCAGCAGUAGGGAAUCUUCCGCAAUGGGCGAGAGCUUGACGGAGCAACGCCGCGUGAGUGAUGAAGGUCUUCGGAUCGUAAAACUCUGUUAUUAGGGAAGAACAAAUGUGUAAGUAACUAUGCACGUCUUGACGGUAACUAAUCAGAAAGCCACGGCUAACUACGUG